rnacentral:rRNA from 1 species
UACGUAGGGUGCAAGCGUUGAUCGGAAUUACUGGGCGUAAAGGGCGCGUAGGCGGUUAGUUAAGUCUGUUGUGAAAUCCCCGGGCUCAACCUGGGAAUGGCAAUGGAUACUGGCUGGCUAGAGUGUGGCAGAGGAUGGUGGAAUUCCCGGUGUAGCGGUGAAAUGCGUAGAGAUCGGGAGGAACAUCAGUUGCGAAGGCGGCCAUCUGGGACAACACUGACGCUGAAGCACGAAAGCGUGGGGAGCAAACAGG